ACACAGAUUACAAAUAUUUUAGAUCGUGAACGCAUUCUUGGCAUAAAAACUAUUUUUUGACUGACUUAUAAAUAUGUUCCUACUACUUCUCGUUUUAGUGGCGUCGUGUGCGGGAGGGCAGCCGUGCCUUGAUAGUGAAAGUGUCGAUAUCAGUGCCGGACAAAGUUUGGCAGACGGGUCUAUGGUGCAAGAUGGCGUCCUCUUCCCGCCAAAAUAUGUGUACACCAAAGAGGUUGAUGGUGAAAAGAAAACUUUUGGGUGUUUGUGUCAAAAUAAAAAUUGUUUUCACAAAUGCUGUCCCCUUGGGUCAGUCACAUACAUGAGGAAUUGUACUGAAAUGCCUGACAAAGAUCUGGUGCUUAGUGGUUUAGAUACAUAUUACAAAAAUAAGUUUCAAAAGACUGUGGACGCGAACAAAACUUUUGACUUCAUGUACUACAAGCCUUGUGUAAAUCUGUAUAUGGAAGAUAAUAAGUGGUACAUCCAGGAGGAUGGCAAGCUAUACGUGGAAAUUCCUAAUAACAUACCAAAUGCGAUCAUCUAUGAGCCCGACAAGUACUGUAUUGACACAUUCCUCGAUGAAGAGGGAAAAGGGGUCCUGAACGCGUUGAUUUGCUUCGCAUCAAAACCAGAACAGAAUAAUUAUGCACUCAGCAGUAGUUGUAUGCUGAUCUCGUGUUUCUUCAUCUUGCUAACCGUGGCAGUGUAUGCGUGGAUACCAGAGCUCCGUAACCUUCAUGGCAUGGUCCUCAUGGCGUAUCUCCUCAGCUUCUUCGUGGGCUUUCUGUUCCUGGCAACCAUGCAGAUCUUGAUAAUGACCCAAGAGAUCACUGAAAACAUAUGCCUUGUUCUUACGUUCAUCGUGUACUUCUCCCUGCUGUCUGCAUUCUUCUGGUUGAACGUUAUGUGCUACGAUAUUUGGUGGACUUUCAGUGGCAAACGCGCACACGGUCGGUCAGGAACGCAGCAUAAGCGCUUCGUAUUCUACGCAUUAUACGCGUUUGGUGUGCCAACUGCGCUCACCGCUCUGUUGGCAACGUUGGAGUUCUCCGAGUCACUUCCAGUGCAACACCCCCUGCUGCCAAUGAUUAGGCUACAAGGCUGCUUCUUAUAUGGUAACAGCAAAUUAUUGUACUUGUACGGGCCUAUAGUGGCUCUCUGUGUGGCUAACAUGACAUUCUUUGCGCUGACGGCGUUCAAGAUAGCGAAGAUCAAGCGAGAGACGCAAGUGCUGCAGGGCAGAGAAAGCUCCACACACGACCAAGCAAGAAAAGACACACAAAGAUUCACUCUUUACAUCAAGUUGUUCACCGUGAUGGGGAUCAACUGGAUCCUAGAAGUCGUCAGUUCCUUCUACCCUGAUGCUGACGUCUUCUGGCAAUUUUCUGACGCCUACAACGUCCUGGUCGGCCUCAUCAUCUUCAUCAUCUUCGUGUGUAAGAAGAAAACUUGGAAAAUGAUCAAGAAGAGGAUUAAAGAUUAUCAACGAUCCGAAACUGCUAACGGAGGAACGACCAUCAAUAAUGUUAAAUUAAGCCGUUGGCAAACUAAUCACGAUAGAGAUGCUAGUCUCGAGACUGUUAAAACAACGGUUGGUAUAGGAACUGAUUCCAGAAACAGUAGAAUUAACCAAGAAGUUCCGACAUAGCGAAGGAUAAACAUACAGCCGUUGACGCCAUGGACCAGAUUUCUACGUAGGAAGUAAACACUGAAGAACAAAAAUAGCAGAACAGUAAAUUGAAUGGCGCGCAUCAAAAUGAAAGCAAAAAAGACAGUUCCUAUUGCCAACCAAAAUAGUGAUGAGACUAAUAGCCGAUCGAUAACAACCAAUCAUUGUAUUCCUGGGGCAGUUUUAACAUAUUUGGAAUACAGUAUGAGUGCAAAGAUACGCGCAGAUGAGAGGUGACCAGCUAUCCCGGUCGCAGACGACCAACUCUUACUCGACUAGAACUCAUUCUGCCUCCCGGGAUGACCUGCCCAUGAACUCAAUUAAAAAGUAAAAUAACCUUUUUACCUCGGUAUCAAUCAUUCGUAUAGAAUAUUGUCUGAACUGGAUGUUAGAAAACAUUCUCGAACCAUAUAGUAAAACAAUAUUAAUAGUAUGUGACAUGGAAAUUUGAACUUUAUCCCUUAAAGAUAAGGUUCAAUUUUUAAACGUUUGCAGUCAGACAAUAUCGCUAGUUCACUCUUUCCACUGCAAGCUGUAUUGAGCUUCAGAUUGUUAUUAUUAAUUAUAAAUAUUUGAAUAAAAUGAGUGUUUUCUUGUCUCUAAUUAAUUUAAUAAAACUAUAUGAUAAGAAUAUUAUUUUUGACACACUUCUGGCAAAUUUAGUUGACCGAACAAUUAAUUUUUUCUCGAGUAGACAGCUAGUCCUAAAUAAUUAUCACUUAAGUACUUGUACUCGUAGUUUUAAGUCUAUUUUAUAUUGCACACGAAAAACAGUGUAUUUAUAUAUAUUGUGUACACUGUUAAUCACAUCUAAGUAAUUUUUUGUUUGUUUUUAAGAAAAAUAAAAACUGUAGCUUUUCCUUUUUAUCAAGUUGACGAUCUUGCGCUUUCAGCAAGGAAAUAUUUAUCUUUUUUUAUAAGUGUUCAAAUGUUAUAUACCCAUAUCAUAUGCUUAAGAUUUACCGCACACUGAAUACUUUUAGUUGGCCGAUAGUUUAUUUGGGCUCAUAAAUCAGUAUGAAGAUGCAUGGUAGUGCGUACGUUACAAAGAUCAGGUAUAUAACCAGUAUCAGACCGACUGAAAACUUUGAUUGGAAUCAAGAUUUUCUUUAAAAAAGCCAGUCAUCGAGUUGACUGUCGGCCGACUGUUUAUUCUGCAGUGGGUACGAUAAAUACGCAAAACUAGCAUUUACUAGCAAUAAAGAAGACGUUAUUUGACAUUAUAAUAUUAUCUAGUUCUUAUGAUUUACAUGUAAAAUUACUCCACUAUUGGCAUUGGUUUUCUAUGUAUAUUUGUUUCUUUGAAUUCCUACAAGAGCUAGGAUUAUUUUUUUAUUUAUUAUUUAUAAUGUAUUUAAAUGGUUUUGAUCUCAAUGAAAUGGUGGUUUCACUGUUAAAGAAAUGAACAUCACAAAUAAUCUUUGUUAUAAUGUGCAUGUAUGUACGAAUGCAACUCAUGACAUGCUUAAUAUGGUGGUUUGCACCUUAACUCACUAAAUAAGUAUAAUUAAACUACAACUGUGUAUACAAUACAAAACGUUGAACAUACAGUGUAAUUAACAGUGAAUUGCACUGUACUUAUUCGAAUACAUAAUUCAAUUUAUUGAGUAACGGUGCAAACCCUAAGUAUAAUAAUUGUAUAACUAAUAAAUGAUCAUCAUUUUGUCAUAUUUGUGUUAUCUAUUUAUUGGGCUGAAGUUACUCAUUCACGACCCACAAUGAAGAAACUUAAUAUACUUAUUUUGCUGCAAUCGCAAAAACGUUUAA
rnacentral:misc_RNA from 1 species